GAGGGUGUGGCUCAGGGCUAGAGCACGUGCUUGGCACACAGGAAGUCCUGGGUCCCAUCCCCAGCCCCUCCA
rnacentral:tRNA from 1 species